rnacentral:rRNA from 1 species
UACGUAGGGUGCAAGCGUUAAUCGGAAUUACUGGGCGUAAAGCGUGCGCAGGCGGUUAUGCAAGACAGAGGUGAAAUCCCCGGGCUCAACCUGGGAACUGCAUUUGUGACUGCAUCGCUAGAGUACGGCAGAGGGGGAUGGAAUUCCGCGUGUAGCAGUGAAAUGCGUAGAUAUGCGGAGGAACACCGAUGGCGAAGGCAAUCCCCUGGGCCUGUACUGACGCUCAUGCACGAAAGCGUGGGGAGCA